rnacentral:tRNA from 1 species
GGAGUGUUGGUCCGGGACCACCAGGCCUCUACAGCCACGGCAGCCGGGUUCAACUCCCGGGCACUUCGCC